rnacentral:rRNA from 1 species
UACGAAGGUGGCAAGCGUUACUCGGAAUUACUAGGCGUAAAGGGCAGGUAGGUGGUUUGGUAAGUCUGUUGUGAAAGCUCCUUGCUUAACGGGGAGAGGCCAACAGAUACUGCCAGGCUUGAGUAUGGGAGAGGGUACUGGAAUUCCCGGUGUAGCGGUGAAAUGCGCAGAGAUCGGGAGGAACACCAAUGGCGAAAGCAGGUACCUGGACCAUUACUGACACUCAGCUGCGAAAGCUAGGGGAGCAAACAGG